rnacentral:rRNA from 1 species
UGGGGAAUCUUGCACAAUGGAGGAAACUCUGAUGCAGCGACGCCGCGUGAGCGAAGAAGCCUUUCGGGGUGUAAAGCUCUUACGCCAGGGACGAUAAUGACGGUACCUGGAGAAGCAGCUGCGGCUAACUACGUGCCAGCAGCCGCGGUAAUACGUAGGCAGCAAGCGUUGUUCGGAAUUACUGGGCGUAAAGGGUGCGUAGGCGGCGCUCUAAGUUUGGUGUGAAAUCUCCCGGCUUAACUGGGAGGGUGCACUGAAAACUGGGGCGCUCGAGUAUGGGAGAGGAAAGCGGAAUUCCUGGUGUAGCGGUGAAAUGCGUAGAGAUCAGGAGGAACACCUGCGGUGCAGACGGCUUUCUGGACCACCACUGACGCUGAGGCACGAAAGCGUGGGUAGCAAACA